rnacentral:rRNA from 1 species
AUCUAUGGCCAAAGCACCCUCAGUGCACUGGAUCUCGUCUGAUCUCAGGAGCAAAGCAGGGCCAGGCCUCCUCAGUACUUGGAUGGGAGAAAUCAGGGUAUGUGGGAGACUGCCGCGC